UACGGAGGGUGCAAGCGUUGUCCGGAUUUAUUGGGGUUAAAGGGUGCGUAGGCGGCCUUAUAAGUCAGUGGUGAAAUACUUCGGCUCAACCGAAGAGGUGCCAUUGAUACUGUAGGGCUUGAGUACAGACGAGGUAGGCGGAAUUUAUGGUGUAGCGGUGAAAUGCAUAGAUACCAUAAAGAACACCGAUUGCGAAGGCAGCUUACUUGGCUGUAACUGACGCUGAGGCACGAAAGCGUGGGGAUCGAACAGG
rnacentral:rRNA from 1 species